AUUGAACCUAGUGAUAUAUGGGUUAGUGGCGCACGGGUGAGUAACGCGUGGGUAACCUGCCUUACACAGGGGGAUAACACUUAGAAAUAGGUGCUAAAACCGCAUAAGCGCACAGCUUCGCAUGAAGCGGUGUGAAAAACUUCGGUGGUGUAAGAUGGACCCGCGUCUGAUUAGCUUGUUGGCGGGGUAACGGCCCACCAAGGCGACGAUCAGUAGCCGGCCUGAGAGGGCGGACGGCCACAUUGGGACUGAGACACGGCCCAGACUCCUACGGGAGGCAGCAGUGGGGAAUAUUGCACAAUGGGGGAAACCCUGAUGCAGCGACGCCGCGUGAGUGAAGAAGUAAUUCGUUACGUAAAGCUCUAUCAGCAGGGAAGAAAAUGACGGUACCUGAGUAAGAAGCCCCGGCUAACUACGUGCCAGCAGCCGCGGUAAUACGUAGGGGGCAAGCGUUAUCCGGAUUUACUGGGUGUAAAGGGAGCGUAGACGGUGCGCCAAGUCUGGAGUGAAAUGCCGCAGCUUAACUGCGGAACUGCUUUGGAAACUGGCGAACUAGAGUGCGGGAGGGGUAAGCGGAAUUCCUAGUGUAGCGGUGAAAUGCGUAGAUAUUAGGAGGAACACCGGUGGCGAAGGCGGCUUACUGGACCGUAACUGACGUUGAGGCUCGAAAGCGUGGGUAGCAAACAGGAUUAGAUACCCUGGUAGUCCACGCCGUAAACGAUGAUUACUAGGUGUCGGGGACCCAAGGGUCUCCGGUGCCGCCG
rnacentral:rRNA from 1 species